rnacentral:rRNA from 1 species
AGUGAACGCUGGCGGUAGGCCUAACACAUGCAAGUCGAACGGCAGCACAGAGGAGCUUGCUCCUUGGGUGGCGAGUGGCGGACGGGUGAGGAAUACAUCGGAAUCUACUCUGUCGUGGGGGAUAACGUAGGGAAACUUACGCUAAUACCGCAUACGACCUACGGGUGAAAGCAGGGGAUCUUCGGACCUCGCGCGAUUGAAUGAGCCGAUGUCGGAUUAGCUAGUUGGCGGGGUAAAGGCCCACCAAGGCGACGAUCCGUAGCUGGUCUGAGGGGAUGAUCAGCCACACUGGAACUGAGACACGGUCCGGACUCCUACGGGAGGCAGCAGUGGGGAAUAUUGGACAAUGGGCGCAAGCCUGAUCCAGCCAUACCGCGUGGGUGAAGAAGGCCUUCGGGUUGUAGAGCCCUUUUGUUGGGAAAGAAAUCCAUCUGGUUAAUACCCGGGUGGGAUGACGGUACCCAAAGAAUAAGCACCGGCUAACUUCGUGCCAGCCGCCGCCGUAA